rnacentral:rRNA from 1 species
UACAGAGGGGGGCAAGCGUUUAUUCGGAAUUAUUGGGCGUAAAGGGCGCGUAGGCGGCCUGGCAAGUGGAAGGUGAAAUCCCUCGGCUUAACCGAGGAACUGCCCUCCAAACUGCUUGGCUUGAGUCCGGGAGAGGUGAGUGGAAUUCCCGGUGUAGCGGUGAAAUGCGUAGAUAUCGGGGAGGAACACCUGUGGCGAAAGCGGCUCACUGGACAGCAACUGACGCUGAUGCGCGAAAAGCUAGGGGGAGCAAACAGGG